rnacentral:lncRNA from 1 species
GUCCAAUUAAAGUCCCUUCACUUUGGCUUUUGUGUUCUUUAAUAUGUCUAUCUCCAUUAUUAUUUGAACAUUUCCUUAUUUUCUGGCACAAUAAGAUACUCAGUCUUAUGUACUUUGUUACCCUCCCUAAUCUUAUACUUCCCUAAUCUUGUACUGAUAAAGCUGAAUUUCUAUCCUGACUUAAUCUUACUUUAUCUUUUAGGACAAGGUGCCUUUAGACCAGAAGUUCCUGGUCAGGUGGGAUGGCCAAAACCACUACAAUCUAAAAUAGUUGUCAGAGUGAUGUCAGACUUAUGAUUUCAUUAUAAUCACAUCAGCAUGCUAAAUGACACACCCUCUAGUGCCAUAAUAGUUGACAGUUACACCAUGACAAUAACCAGAAAGAACCAUAAAAGAGGUAGCACCUGAAUUCCUGGAAAAUCUCCCCCAUUCCCAGAAAAGAUAUGAAUAUUUCUCCCCUUUAUUAGUCUAUCCCUCUUCCUCAUUUCUUUUACGCUGUUUGUAAUCUCCCAACUUCCAAGGUUUGAGAACUGAUUUGUGAGUCUUUCUU